CAGUAGCCGCGGUAAUACGUAGGGUGCAAGCGUUAAUCGGAAUUACUGGGCGUAAAGCGUGCGCAGGCGGUUAUAUAAGACAGAUGUGAAAUCCCCGGGCUCAACCUGGGAACUGCAUUUGUGACUGUAUAGCUAGAGUACGGCAGAGGGAGAUGGAAUUCCGCGUGUAGCAGUGAAAUGCGUAGAUAUGCGGAGGAACACCGAUGGCGAAGGCAAUCCCCUGGGCCUGUACUGACGCUCAUGCACGAAAGCGUGGGGAGCAAACAGGAUUAGAUACCCGCGUAGUCCCUGUCUCUUAUAC
rnacentral:rRNA from 1 species